rnacentral:rRNA from 1 species
UAGGGAAUCUUCGGCAAUGGACGAAAGUCUGACCGAGCAACGCCGCGUGAGUGAAGAAGGUUUUCGGAUCGUAAAACUCUGUUGUUAGAGAAGAACAAGGACGUUAGUAACUGAACGUCCCCUGACGGUAUCUAACCAGAAAGCCACGGCUAACUACGUGCCAGCAGCCGCGGUAAUACGUAGGUGGCAAGCGUUGUCCGGAUUUAUUGGGCGUAAAGCGAGCGCAGGCGGUUUCUUAAGUCUGAUGUGAAAGCCCCCGGCUCAACCGGGGAGGGUCAUUGGAAACUGGGAGUCUUGAGUGCAGAAGAGGUGAGUGGAAUUCCAUGUGUAGCGGUGAAAUGCGUAGAUAUAUGGAGGAACACCAGUGGCGAAGGCGGCUCUCUGGUCUGUAACUGACGCUGAGGCUCGAAAGCGUGGGGAGCAAACAGG